UAGAAGAUACAAAGGCAAAGACACAUACGGAGUUUAGCUACACCAUCAAAGCUUUGAGAA
rnacentral:sRNA from 1 species